AUUGAACGCUGGCGGCAGGCCUAACACAUGCAAGUCGAGCGGAGCGGCGGACGGGUGCGUAAGGCCUAGGAAUCUGCCUGGUCGUGGGGGAUGACGUCCGGAAACGGGCGCUAAUACCGCAUCCUAUCAGAUGAGCAUAGGUCGGAUUAGCUAGUUGGUGGGUGAAAGGCCUACCAAGGCGACGAUCCGUAACUGGUAUGAGAGGAUGAUCAGUCACACUGGAACUGAGACACGGUCCAGACUCCUACGUGAGGCAGCAGUGGGGAAGAUUGGACAAUGGGCGAAAGCCUGAUCCAGCCAUGCCGCGUGUGUGAAGGAGGUCUUCGGAUUGUAAAGUACUUUAAGUUGGGAGGCGUUACCAACAGAAGAAGCACCGGCUAACUUCGUGCCAGCAGCCGCGGUAAUUC
rnacentral:rRNA from 1 species